UCUGACAGUACAAGCGUGUUCGUAAAUAUUUGGGUGAUGUCAUGCAUUCUCCAUGUAUUGGUUCUGGCAGCACAAGCGUGUUCGUAAAUAUCUGGGUGACGUCAUGCAUUCCCCAUGCAUUGGUUUUCAUGAGUGGUUUCAGUGAGUUUUUGGGCAAGUCUGAUAUUAGUGAUCCACAGGCAGCAGGCAGCUUCCUGUACAGAGCUACCUCCACCCCUUGGACAGUCCAGGACUGAAUGGUUGUCAAAAAUGUGAACUCCUUGAUGACCAGUAAAGGCAACUGAGAGAACUGUGUAGCAUUGGUGUAAAAAGUGCACUUUCCUAAGGAGCAUGAACUUAGAGUAAUCAAAGGCUGUGGCAACAGUGGAACCCAGCAGGGCAUCCACUCGCUGCUUUGUAACUUAAAUAGGAAUUCUUUGAGGAGCUCAGUCUCUCAACUAAAGCAGCUGCCUGCAGCCUAUAGGGGCAGUGGAAGCUCUACUGGACACCUUCUUCACAAGCCCAGCACUGUGUUUUCUGAUGAAAUGUUGCCUUGGUCACCAUCAGUAGUGUCUGGAACUCUGCAGGGGAUAAGGAGUGUCCCUGUGAGAUCCGUACUGUGUACUUAGUUAAAAUAAAAGCAUCUGUUGCCUUGAUUGGUAUUCUGAGUAUCCAUGAGACAAGAAGUUUCUUUAGUUCAAUGGGGAGGGGAGGUGGACAAUUCUUGGAAAUUGCCAAAAGGUUUGUAAAAAUGUACAAAUGGGGCUAAUUGUUGGCCCAGCAUCAGUGCUGAGACGACC
rnacentral:lncRNA from 1 species